UACGUAGGGGGCAAGCGUUGUCCGGAUUUACUGGGCGUAAAGAGCGUGUAGGCGGCCACGCAGGUCCGUUGUGAAAACUGGAGGCUCAACCUCCAGCUGUCGACGGAAACCGUAUGGCUAGAGUCCGGAAGAGGAGAGUGGAAUUCCUGGUGUAGCGGUGAAAUGCGCAGAUAUCAGGAGGAACACCGGUGGCGAAGGCGGGUCUCUGGGCAACAACUGACGCUGAGGAGCGAAAGCGUGGGGAGCGAACAGG
rnacentral:rRNA from 1 species